CAGCACCGGCCUUUCCCCGCCGCCGCCCGGCCCGGCUCCGCUCGCCUCAGCACGCGCCGCUCUCCGGCGCCAUGUUCUCCGCCCGCCUCCCCCCGCCGCCCGGCCAAUCCCUCCCGGCGCCCGCGGGGUCCCGUCCGCCCUCCGCGCCCGGGCCUGGCGGGACCCGUACCUGGGGGUGCCGGGAGCUGCCGCCUCUGCCGCCGGGAGGGCCGGGGCUGCGGCUGAGGAGGGGGCCGGGGGCCUCUGGGAGGAGGCGGAGGCGGUGGAGGGGGUGGGUGGCUGGGCGGGGAGCCGGGGCGACACUCGCCGCGGCGGGGGGGCCGCGCCCGGCGGAGGCGGACGGGGUUGCGGCGCGAAGGGCGGCCCCGGGCUGCACCCGCGGAGAGACCGUGUCGCGGCCCGCCCGCUUCCUGGUGGCCGCGCUCCGCGUCCCUGGCGGCCUCUGCCAAACAAAAGUCCCUAGUGCAUGUAAAAGUGAAGACCAAGCUGGACAGAAAGAGGACAGGAUAAAUGGUGAGCUGUUAAAUCUGAAUUCCACCCUGUUGCUGGCAGUGCGUCAGAGAGGCUCAUCCCGUGGUGCCUGACAGAAGGACUGCAGGUGACAUAGUUAUCCUUUUACCUUGACUGAAGGGGAAUCCUGUCCUCAGCUGAGAAUAUAGCAGUAUUCUCUGAGAGUAAGUCUUUGUUAUUUAACUUACUGUAUGUGGACAACACAGAGUUUAGAAUGUUACUGGCCAACUGGUCAGGCUGUUCAAAGGCUACAGUUUGGUUUAUGUUUAUCUGAGGUGCAGGUGAUUUCCCCUUUAAUGUGAAUAUGCAAUUAAUCAGCAAUUUUCUUUACUAUGUCACUGAUAAUAUUAAAUAUUAAACUCUCCACAUGCUCAGUACAGGUGAUACAUUGUGUAGCAUGUUGGCAAUCAAAUCAGGUGUUACUAAGCCUUGAAGAAGUCUCACUGAACCUUAUAAUUUGUAUUAAUUAUAUCUCUCCAUUAUUAUACCUUAUAUAACCUUUUUAAUUUGUAGGUAAUCAUGUUCCAUGUAAACAAUUUUACUACUUUUCAGGCCUCCAUACCUACCAUUCCCCAGGUGAUCUGAUACAGGCCCUAGGAAAACAGUGUUUGUUUUGUCUAUGAAUAUCACUGCAAUUUAAUGGCUUUUUGCUUGCCAGCCUUACUUUAAAAUUGUCCUUCUUGAUCCAUACGUGAGGAUUAAUACCCUCUUCUGAAAUUGCUACAUUUGCUGUUGUGUGUACUAUUAUAUAAUUCAGAUUUCUGUAAUGUCUUUGUCUCUAUUUAAACAAAAUAAAACAUUUGUCACAGAUGAACUACCUGUCUUC
rnacentral:lncRNA from 1 species